rnacentral:lncRNA from 1 species
GCCCUCCCUUGCUCCAGUAGUAGGUGGUGUCCACUGCUCUCCCAGAACCAUGUAGGGCCCUCGGCUUUCACUGGAACCACCCUCACCUCCUGGGCCCGAGCAGAUGCCCUCUUGGUCCCCGCCCCCUCCCGCUGCUCACCAUCCAGCCUCCCUGACCCAUCACGGGACACCGGACAUAAUGCUGUACGUUCCUGGUCCUCCCAGGCUUGGCCGCCAGCUUCCGCAGAGCCCAGAGCACCUCCGUCCCCCCGCUGCUCCUGCCUACGGGCUCAGCCCUGCAGAGCUCCUUCCUCCUUGGGCUGUGGGGGGGAAGCUCGUCUGCCUGAAUGCCCUCCCCAAGUCUCCGAGGGCCUGUGUCCUGUCAUUAGGUCUCACCCGAAGCCACCGCCUGGAGACUACACCCUGAACCCCACUCCCACUCGGCCUCCGUGCCUCCCCCCCACUCUGACACUCUCUUGUGCCAAGCUGAUAGCUUCCCUCUCUGUUCCUUUACUCCCUACGCACCCCACCCCCCCCCACUGGAAUAUGAGCUUUUCCAGGAGUGGGUCUCACUCGCUGCUGGUGCCCCCCGAGGCCCUGAGCAAGCCCAUAAUGUCAUUGAGUGUCCCCCGGACACCCACUCGCUGCUGGGCUUCCUCCAGAGCCGCCCAUCCCAGCCCCCGCACACUUGCCAUGGCCCCCCACUUUCUCUCCUUUGUCUGCUCAGACUCUUACCAGCUCGAGGUCCAUCCGCCUUGCUGCUCCCAGGCUGCACGUUCAAGCCAGCAUGGACUAGUGGCCUGGGGGCCACCACAACCACCAGCACCCCUGGAGGGCUACAACCACGGGGAAUGGUUCUCCCCCAGCUCCGGAGGCUGCAGUCUGAGAUCCAGAGGCUCCAGGGGAGGGUCCCUCCUGCCUCCCCCAGCUCCCAGUGGCCCCAGCAUUCCUCGGCUUGGGGCAGCAUUGCGGAGUAUCACCCUGUCCUCGCUUGGCCCCCUCUCUUCACCUCUGUACCUGCGAAGCUUCACCUCACCAUCCUCCUCCUGAGGGCAGCGCCCCAUCUGUCUGUCUCCUUGUCCUCCGUGCCUGGCACAGGUGAAUGCCCCAUAAAUGCCUCUAUUUAGCUUCAGGGAAUCCCAGGCAGGGGGCAGGAUGGUGAGCAGAAGUCCCCGCUGCCCCCCCACCCCAGUCCCAAACUAUAAGAACCCGGGGUGGAGAUAUUUAUAGACUGGACCGAGCAGCCCCCACCGGCAGCAUCCACAGGCUCCCAUGUCUGUCCGAGAGCUCAACAUCCAGGCUCCCUGAAGGACCUGCAUGACGGCGUGUGGCAGGUGCCCAGAGCCCCACUGCGGGGACUGCAAGCAGGCCCGGGAGCACAGAGGUAAGUUGGCACCCAGAGGUGACUCGUGAGUGGGCACCGGCCCCUCAUCAGGCUGGCAGCUCAUUAGGGCAGCUCAGGAGGCAGCCAAGGGGCUGAGUUCACGGCAGCAGGCGGGGCGCACGCUUGGAUCUGACUCAUCAUUAUUUCACAGAGGUUCAGAAAUGAGGAGGAGGUGGACGCGUGACCCACUUCUGCUGGCUCACGGGCACCUCGCUGGCAGGAGUGCCAUGGCAACCAGCUGCACGGGCUUAAUUACACCAGCCCACGGCACUUCCUCACCAAGAUUAACGGGGAGCAGACACCCUCACCUCUCCCAGCCGGGGAGGAGAAGGAACGGUUGGCUCUGCUUACGAGAGGAGCCCCCGUGCACCCCUCCUCCACGGGCACCUGUGUCCACACUCCUGCCGGGAGCCGGGGGCAGAUGGGGCCGUGGAUCAGAGCUACUCACCCCCUCCUCUGGUCCCCAAGGGUCCCAUGCCAGCUGGCCCUCUGGCCGGGUGACAGCCACCAGGUCUGGCCAGGCUGGCCUUCCUCCUGCUGGUGUCCACCUGCCCACCCGGCCUCUGGCCCGGCC